rnacentral:rRNA from 1 species
UGGGGAAUAUUGCGCAAUGGGCGAAAGCCUGACGCAGCGACGCCGCGUGAGCGAUGAAGGCCUUCGGGUCGUAAAGCUCUGUCAGAGGGGACGAAACACCUCGGUGACUAAUACCACCGAGGCUUGACGGUACCCUCAGAGGAAGCACCGGCUAACUCCGUGCCAGCAGCCGCGGUAAUACGGAGGGUGCUAGCGUUGUUCGGAAUUACUGGGCGUAAAGCGCUCGUAGGCGGUCUGUGUAGUCUGGUGUGAAAUCCCUCGGCUUAACCGAGGAAGUGCGCUGGAAACCAGCAGGCUUGAGUACGGUAGGGGAUCGUGGAAUUCCUGGUGUAGCGGUGAAAUGCGUAGAUAUCAGGAAGAACACCGGUGGCGAAGGCGACGAUCUGGGCCGUAACUGACGCUUAGGAGCGAAAGCGUGGGUAGCAAACAGG